rnacentral:sRNA from 1 species
GGCCACAUUACACUGCCAUUCCUUCACCAGCUGAUGAUGAUCUUAUGAUCUUCACAAUUUCCAAGUUCACAGGCCAUGCUGGGAGCAGAUUUGGAUGGGCAAUAAUAAAGGAUGAAGCAGUGUAUAAAAAGAUGUUGACAUAUUUGGAUAUGGACACCAUGGGAGUUUCCCGUGAGGCACAGCUGAGAUGUUUAAAGCUUUUGAAUGUUGUUCUUGAAGGAGAUGAUGGAAAAGAGAUAUUCAAAUUUGCAUAUUCAAC